rnacentral:rRNA from 1 species
GACGAACGCUGGCGGCGUGCUUAACACAUGCAAGUCGAACGGAAAGGCCCUGCUUGCAGGGUGCUCGAGUGGCGAACGGGUGAGUAACACGUGGGUGAUCUGCCCCUUACUUUAGGAUAAGCCUGGGAAACUGGGUCUAAUACUGGAUAGGACCAUGCUGUAGGUGGUGUGGUGGAAAGAUUAGUUUCGGUAAGGGAUGAGCUCGCGGCCUAUCAGCUUGUUGGUGGGGUAAUGGCCUACCAAGGCGUCGACGGGUAGCCGGCCUGAGAGGGUGGACGGCCACAUUGGGACUGAGAUACGGCCCAGACUCCUACGGGAGGCAGCAGUGGGGAAUAUUGCACAAUGGGCGCAAGCCUGAUGCAGCGACGCCGCGUGGGGGAUGACGGCCUUCGGGUUGUAAACUCCUUUCAGCCAUGACGAAGCCCUUGUGGUGACGGUAGUGGUAGAAGAAGCACCGGCUAACUACGUG